CCUACGGGUGGCAGCAGUGAGGAAUAUUGGUCAAUGGUCGGGAGACUGAACCAGCCAAGCCGCGUGAGGGAGGAAGGUACAGAGUAUCGUAAACCUCUUUUGUCAGGGAACAAAGACUGGGACGCGUCCCCGGAUGAGUGUACCUGAAGAAAAAGCAUCGGCUAACUCCGUUCCAGCAGCCGCGGUAAUACGGAGGCUGCGGGCGUUAUCCGGAUUUAUUGGGGUUAAGGGGUGCGCAGGCGGUCUUUUAAGUAAGCGGUAAAAGCCCGGGGCGCAACCCCGGCCCGCCGUUGAAACUGGCAGUCUCGAGUUGGAGAGAAGUAUGCGGAAGGCGCGGUGUAGCGGUGAAAUGCAUAGAUAUCGCGCAGAACUCCGAUGGCGAAGGCAGCAUGCCGGCUCCACACUGACGCUGAGGCACGAAAGCGUGGGUAUCGAACAGGAUUAGAUACCCCGGUAGUC
rnacentral:rRNA from 1 species